rnacentral:rRNA from 1 species
UGUGGGUGGCGAGUGGCGGACGGGUGAGUAAUGCAUCGGGACCUGCCCAGACGUGGGGGAUAACGUAGGGAAACUUACGCUAAUACCGCAUACGUCCUACGGGAGAAAGCGGGGGAUCGAAAGACCUCGCGCGGUUGGAUGGACCGAUGUUCGAUUAGCUAGUUGGUGAGGUAAUGGCUCACCAAGGCGACGAUCGAUAGCUGGUCUGAGAGGAUGAUCAGCCACACUGGGACUGAGACACGGCCCAGACUCCUACGGGAGGCAGCAGUGGGGAAUAUUGGACAAUGGGCGAAAGCCUGAUCCAGCAAUGCCGCGUGUGUGAAGAAGGCCUUCGGGUUGUAAAGCACUUUUAUCAGGAGCGAAAUACUGCCGGCUAAUACCCGGCGGGGCUGACGGUACCUGAGGAAUAAGCACCGGCUAACUUCGUGCCAGCAGCCGCGGUAAUACGAAGGGUGCAAGCGUUAAUCGGAAUUACUGGGCGUAAAGCGUGCGUAGGCGGUUCUUUAAGUCUGCUGUGAAAUCCCCGGGCUCAACCUGGGAAUGGCAGUGGAUACUGGAGAGCUAGAGUGUGAUAGAGGAUGGUGGAAUUCCCGGUGUAGCGGUGAAAUGCGUAGAGAUCGGGAGGAACAUCAGUGGCGAAGGCGGCCAUCUGGAUCAACACUGACGCUGAGGCACGAAAGCGUGGGGAGCAAACAGGAUUAGAUACCCCUGGUAGUCCACGCCCUAAACGAUGCGAACUGGUAUGUUGGUCUCAACUCGGAGAUCAGUGUCGAAGCCUUAACGCGUUAAGCUUCGCCGUCCU